UUUAACCUGUAAAAACCAUGGUUCUUCUCACCAGAUUAUAAAUUUUAUUACUUUCGGCUAAUUAUUAUAAGAGGGUAAUUACGUGCCAGCAUCCGCGGUUAAACGUAAUCUUAUUUUAACUAUACGUUUAUUUCUAUUCUCCUUGAGUUAAUAUCUUGUGGCGUUUAACUUUAACCUCUCGAAAAAGAUUAGAUACCUUUGUAGAUUAAAUAUACUCCUUAAGCAUUUAAAAACUUAAAAAACAUGGCAGAAAAAGAAAAACAAGGCUUUUGACCAAAAGAUAACCCGCUCUAUUAUCCUUUAAAAGUAGUGUAUUGCUGCACGAGUGAAAAUAAAUUUCUCUCCCUAACAAGCCUUAAUGCUCAAGAAGGUUUUAAUUGAAAGACUAAGGAUUGUUUUGUAGUUAUAGUUAAUACGAUUCCUCUUCUUUUUUGUUCUUAUCGCCCGUCACCUCCACCAAAACUGGAGAAAGUCGUAACAAAGUAAAUGUAAUGGAAAUUGCAUUUUUUGCCCUCUUUUUUUUUAUCUCUUCUUCAUUCCUUCUUCCUUUUUCCUUAAGUUACCUGUAAUAUAAACUUUGGGAGUUUAAGUCUUCUGCAACUUCAAAUUUUCUUCUCUCU
rnacentral:rRNA from 1 species